GAUGAAGAACGUAGCGAAAUGCGAUACUUGGUGUGAAUUGCAGAAUCCCGUGAACCAUCGAGUCUUUGAACGCAAGUUGCGCCUCAAGCCAUUAGGUUGAGGGCACGUCUGCCUGGGCGUCACAUAUCGUUGCCUGAUGCCAGUUUCCUCGUGAUGGGUGACUGUGCAGGGCGAAUGAUGGCUUCCCGUGAGCAUUGUUGCCUCAUGGUUGGUUGAGAAUUGAGUCCUUGGUAGGGAGCGCCGUGAUAGAUGGUGGUUGAGUGACGAACGAGACCCAAUCAUGUGAGACCCCUACCGAAUUUGGCCUUCAUGACCCACAUGCGUCUUUGGAACGCUCAUGACGAGACCUCAGGUCAGGCGGGGCUACCCGCUGAGUUUAAGCAUAUCAAUAAGCGGAGGA
rnacentral:misc_RNA from 1 species